rnacentral:rRNA from 1 species
UAGUGGCGCACGGGUGAGUAUGCAUAGGUAACAUGCCCUUUAGUCUGGGAUAGCCACUGGAAACGGUGAUUAAUACUAGAUACUCCUUACGGGGGAAAGUUUUUCGCUAAAGGAUUGGCCUAUGUCCUAUCAGCUUGUUGGUGAGGUAAUGGCUCACCAAGGCUAUGACGGGUAUCCGGCCUGAGAGGGUGAUCGGACACACUGGAACUGAGACACGGUCCAGACUCCUACGGGAGGCAGCAGUAGGGAAUAUUGCUCAAUGGGGGAAACCCUGAAGCAGCAACGCCGCGUGGAGGAUGAAGGUUUUAGGAUUGUAAACUCCUUUUGUUAGAGAAGAUUAUGACGGUAUCUCACGAAUAAGCACA